rnacentral:rRNA from 1 species
UCCAAAGCCGCCCGAACGGUGCUGAUCAACUCGUCCCUAUCCAGCCUGCUCCUAUUCAUAAUGAGCUUUUACAGCCUGCCCGAGACUCUGCACCAUGAGAUUGCCAGGGUUCAGGGUCGCUUCUACUGGGCUGGUGAGGGAGACAAGCAGAAAUACCACAUGGUACAAUGGUCUGAAAUUUGUAAACCGCGUGAUCAGGGCGGGCUUGGGAUAAUGUGCUCCAAGCGGAUGAACAUUGCCCUCCUAACUCGAUGGCUUUGGCGGAUUACGAACGGCGAGGGUGGCCUGUGGCUCCGCAUCAUUCAGCGGAAAUACCUACGAGGCCAACCCCUCGCCUUUUGCCAGCGGUCAGGUGGCUCCCAGUUCUGGCAAUCUAUCAUACAGCUGCUUCCGGUCCUGCGCAUUGGAUCCUCGAUUACGGUUGGAUCUGGUACUGCCACGCUGUUUUGGUUUGAUCGCUGGGCUGGAGAUGCCCCCUUCGUGGCUCGUUUUCCAGACCUGUUCUCCAUCGCGGUAGACGCGCGCAUAUCGGUGGCUACGGCCCUUAUUGACUUAGGGCGUCUCGCAUUCCGGCGUCAGUUCGGCCCGGCAGAGACUGCGGCUUGGGAUGACCUGAUCGCAUGCAUUGCGCUUCACGAACCUAUGCUUGAGAAUGGUGAGGACCGCACUCGAUGGCGUCUAGAGCCAUCUGGGCUUUUCUCCACCACGUCGCUCUACAAGGCGAUAGCCCCCACUCCGGGUCCUGCGGCGCUUACUGUCAUCUGGGAGAUCCGGCUCCCUUUGAAAAUUAGGAUAUUCCUAUGA